UAAGUAAGUGGUGGAAAUUAAACCAACUGGGAUCUCUUCAGUAAUUGCGCAUGAACCAGGAUAUGCUUAGCUUGACAAAUGGAGCUGCUGGCUCUGAAUUGUAUUGUGGGAAUGUAUUACCAACAGAGGUGCAGGUGUCAGCCAUUUGAAAGAAAGCAUCAAUGAGGGUGAGAGUCCUGUUUGUCAUGUGCAGCCUUCUGUGCACGGUGUAUAUUUGCUGAGUCACACUCCUCGGCAUUGGAAUGCAAAGUGGGUGGUAAGUUUCAUGCAAAGGUAAAUAUGCAAUUG
rnacentral:rRNA from 1 species